ACACUCCUACGGGAGGCAGCAGUGGGGAAUUUUGCACAAUGGGCGAAAGCCUGAUCCAGCAAUGCCGCGUGAGUGAAGAAGGCCUUCGGGUUGUAAAGCUCUUUUGUCAGGGAAGAAACGGUGAGAGCUAAUAUCUCUUGCUAAUGACGGUACCUGAAGAAUAAGCACCGGCUAACUACGUGCCAGCAGCCGCGGUAAUACGUAGGGUGCAAGCGUUAAUCGGAAUUACUGGGCGUAAAGCGUGCGCAGGCGGUUUUGUAAGUCUGAUGUGAAAUCCCCGGGCUCAACCUGGGAAUUGCAUUGGAGACUGCAAGGCUAGAAUCUGGCAGAGGGGGGUAGAAUUCCACGUGUAGCAGUGAAAUGCGUAGAUAUGUGGAGGAACACCGAUGGCGAAGGCAGCCCCCUGGGUCAAGAUUGACGCUCAUGCACGAAAGCGUGGGGAGCAAACAGGAUUAGAUACCCGGGUAGUCCCA
rnacentral:rRNA from 1 species